GAUGAACGCUGGCGGCGUGCCUAAUACAUGCAAGUCGAGCGAACAGACGAGGAUCUUGCUCCUCUGACUUUAGCGGCGGACGGGUGAGUAACACGUGGAUAACCUACCUAUAAUACUGGGAUAACUUCGGGAAACCGGAGCUAAUACCGGAUAAUAUAUUGAACCGCAUGGUUCAAUAUUUAAUUACGGUUUUGCUUUCUCUUAUAGAUUGAUCCGCGCCGCAUUAGCUAGUUGGUAAGGUAACGGCUUACCAAGGCAACGAUGCGUAGCCGACAUGAGAGGGUGAUAGGAAACACGGGAAGUGAGAAACGGAAAAGACUACGAAGGGAGGCAGCAGUAGGGAAACGUACGCAAGGGGCGAAAGCAUGACGGAGAAAGGAGGAGUGAGAGAUGAAGGUAUACGGAUCGUAAAAAUCUGUUAGGAGGGAAGAAAAAAUGUGUAAGUAACUAUGCACGGAUUGACGGUAACUAAUCAGAAAGCAACGGCUAACUACGUG
rnacentral:rRNA from 1 species